GACGAACGCUGGCGGCGUGCUUAACACAUGCAAGUCGAACGGAAAGGCCCUGCUUUUGUGGGGUGCUCGAGUGGCGAACGGGUGAGUAACACGUGAGUAACCUGCCCUUGACUUUGGGAUAACUUCAGGAAACUGGGGCUAAUACCGGAUAGGAGCUCCUGCUGCAUGGUGGGGGUUGGAAAGUUUCGGCGGUUGGGGAUGGACUCGCGGCUUAUCAGCUUGUUGGUGGGGUAGUGGCUUACCAAGGCUUUGACGGGUAGCCGGCCUGAGAGGGUGACCGGCCACAUUGGGACUGAGAUACGGCCCAGACUCCUACGGGAGGCAGCAGUGGGGAAUAUUGCACAAUGGGCGGAAGCCUGAUGCAGCAACGCCGCGUGCGGGAUGACGGCCUUCGGGUUGUAAACCGCUUUCGCCUGUGACGAAGCGUGAGUGACGGUAAUGGGUAAAGAAGCACCGGCUAACUACGUGCCAGCAGCCGCGGUGAUACGUAGGGUGCGAGCGUUGUCCGGAUUUAUUGGGCGUAAAGGGCUCGUAGGUGGUUGAUCGCGUCGGAAGUGUAAUCUUGGGGCUUAACCCUGAGCGUGCUUUCGAUACGGGUUGACUUGAGGAAGGUAGGGGAGAAUGGAAUUCCUGGUGGAGCGGUGGAAUGCGCAGAUAUCAGGAGGAACACCAGUGGCGAAGGCGGUUCUCUGGGCCUUUCCUGACGCUGAGGAGCGAAAGCGUGGGGAGCGAACAGGCUUAGAUACCCUGGUAGUCCACGCUGUAAACGGUGGGUACUAGGUGUGGGGUCCAUUCCACGGGUUCCGUGCCGUAGCUAACGCUUUAAGUACCCCGCCUGGGGAGUACGGCCGCAAGGCUAAAACUCAAAGGAAUUGACGGGGCCCCGCACAAGCGGCGGAGCAUGCGGAUUAAUUCGAUGCAACGCGUAGAACCUUGCCUGGGUUUGACAUGGAUCGGGAGUGCUCAGAGAUGGGUGUGCCUCUUUUGGGGUCGGUUCACAGGUGGUGCAUGGCUGUCGUCAGCUCGUGUCGUGAGAUGUUGGGUUAAGUCCCGCAACGAGCGCAACCCUUGUUCACUGUUGCCAGCACGUUAUGGUGGGGACUCAGUGGAGACCGCCGGGGUCAACUCGGAGGAAGGUGGGGAUGACGUCAAGUCAUCAUGCCCCUUAUGUCCAGGGCUUCACGCAUGCUACAAUGGCUGGUACAGAGAGUGGCGAGCCUGUGAGGGUGAGCGAAUCUCGGAAAGCCGGUCUCAGUUCGGAUUGGGGUCUGCAACUCGACCUCAUGAAGUCGGAGUCGCUAGUAAUCGCAGAUCAGCAACGCUGCGGUGAAUACGUUCCCGGGACU
rnacentral:rRNA from 1 species